GCUACGGGAGGCAGCAGUAGGGAAUCUUCCACAAUGGGCGAAAGCCUGAUGGAGCAACGCCGCUUGGGUGAAGAAGGUCUUCGGAUCGUAAAACCCUGUUGUUAGAGAAGAAAGUGCGUGAGAGUAACUGUUCACGUUUCGACGGUAUCUAACCAGAAAGCCACGGCUCACUACGUGACAGCAGCCGCUGUAAUCCGGAGGUGGCAAGCGUUAUCCGUAGUUAUUGGGCGUAAAGGGCACGAAGGCGGUCUUUUAAGUCUGAUGUGAAAGCCUUCGGCUUAACCGGAGUAGUGCAUUGGAAACUGGGAGACUUGAGGGCAGAAGAGGAGAGUGGAACUCAAUGUGUAGCGGUGAAAUGCGUAGAUAUAUGGAAGAACACCAGUGGAGAAAGCGGCUCUCUGGUCUGUAACUGACGCUGAGGUUCGAAAGCGUGGGUAGCAAACAGGAUUAGAUACCCGAGUAGUC
rnacentral:rRNA from 1 species